AGAACGAACGCUGGCGGCAUGCCUAAUACAUGCAAGUCGAACGGAGGCUUCGGCCUUAGUGGCGCACGGGUGCGUAACGCGUGGGAAUCUGCCCCUUGGUUCGGAAUAACAGUUGGAAACGACUGCUAAUACCGGAUGAUGACGAAAGUCCAAAGAUUUAUCGCCAAGGGAUGAGCCCGCGUAGGAUUAGCUAGUUGGUGAGGUAAAGGCUCACCAAGGCGACGAUCCUUAGCUGGUCCGAGAGGAUGAUCAGUCACACUGGAACUGAGACACGGUCCAGACUCCUACGGGAGGCAGCAGUGGGGAAUAUUGGACAAUGGGCGAAAGCCUGAUCCAGCCAUGCCGCGUGUGUGAAGAAGGUCUUCGGAUUGUAAAAGCACUUUAAGUUGGGAGGAAGGUUGUAACCUAAUACGUUGCAAACUUUGACGUUUACCGACAGAAUAAGCACCGGCUAACUUCGUGCCAGCAGCCGC
rnacentral:rRNA from 1 species